rnacentral:rRNA from 1 species
AUUGAACGCUGGCGGCAGGCCUAACACAUGCAAGUCGAGCGGAGCGGCAGACGGGUGAGUAAUGCCAAGGCAUCUGCCUGGUCUCGGGGGAUAACGUCCGGAAACGGGCGCUAAUACCGCAUACUAUCAGAUGAGCCUCGGUCGGAGUGGCUUGUUGGUGGGUUAAAGGGCUACCAGGGCGACGAUCCGUAACUGGUCUGGGAGGAGGAUCAGUCACAUUGGAACUGAGACACGGACCAUAGUACUACGGGAGGCAGCAGUGGGGAAUAUGGGACAAUGGGCGAAAGCCUGAUCCAGCAAUGCCGCGUGUGUGAAGAAGGCCUUCGGAUUGUAAAGCACGCUAAGUGGGGAGGCGUUACCAGCAGAAUAAGCACCGGCUAACUACGUGCCAGCAGCCGCGGUAAUUC